CAUUAAGUAACUUAAAGCAAGUAUUGGUCUCUUAAACCAAACUAUAGUACCCAGCGAAUACUCUUAAUGA
rnacentral:tRNA from 1 species